GAUGAACGCUGGCGGCGUACUUAACACAUGCAAGUCGAACGGUGAACGAGGGAGCUUGCUCCCUCCGGAUCAGUGGCGAACGGGUGAGUAACACGUGAGCAAUCUGCCCUGGACUCUGGGAUAAGCGUUGGAAACGACGUCUAAUACCGGAUACGAGACGCGAAGGCAUCUUCAGCGUCUGGAAAGAACUUCGGUCCAGGAUGAGCUCGCGGCCUAUCAGGUAGUUGGUGAGGUAACGGCUCACCAAGCCUACGACGGGUAGCCGGCCUGAGAGGGUGACCGGCCACACUGGGACUGAGACACGGCCCAGACUCCUACGGGAGGCAGCAGUGGGGAAUAUUGCACAAUGGGCGCAAGCCUGAUCCAGCAACGCCGCGUGAGGGACGACGGCCUUCGGGUUGUAAACCUCUUUUAGCAGGGAAGAAGCGAAAGUGACGGUACCUGCAGAAAAAGCACCGGCUAACUACGUGCCAGCAGCCGCAGUAA
rnacentral:rRNA from 1 species